UCACUAUUAAAUUUGACUGUAACAUAUGUGAUAAAUAAUUUUAAUGAAUAUAAAAAUCUAAAACUUUCUGUUGAGAAACUAAUAAAAGAAUUUAGAGAAUUUAAUAGGACCAAUAUUGAAACAUCUUCAGAAAAAUAUCAAAAUACUUCUGAUGAAUUUCCUUUAGGUAGAAAUAAUAAGGACUUACCAGCAUAUCAUCCAAUAAAGAAUAUGACAGACAGCUGAGAUAUAGGUAGUUUAAGGAUUUGCAUCAUCUUUUUUGCAUUCAAACUUAAACAUCUAAAUUCACUAGAAAAAUUUAACCCAAAAUUAAAACUUUUCAUCCUGUAAAAAUUAAAAAAAUACUUUUUAAUACUAUAAAUAUUCAAACACAAUUUUUAGAUAAUUAUAAUGAGUAAAUGUAAAUUAUAGAUAUAAUUCUUAUAACUAUACAACCAAGCAGUAUUUUAAUAAGUACAAAAUUCAAGAAUAUAUAUUAAGAAAGAUUUAAAUUUUAGAAGAAAAUUUAUAUAUUUUUGCUUCAUAUUUUCAUAUCUGUAAAUAUAUAUAUAUAUUGUUGCAGUAGUAUAUAGUUAUAUGGAUUACUACUAUCAAUGUAAAUAAUUUCUGUUAUUUUAUAAACCAUUAUUUGCAGUAAUAAAUAAAUAUUGUGAUAAUAGAAAUAUAUAUAUAUUUAUAUAGCUAUAUUACUUAAUAAUAUGCAUUUAUCAAAAAUGUACAAAGGGGUAGAAGGGAGUUCAUUUAUCAAAAAUAAUUAAUUUCAUUAUAAAUAUAGAUUGAAGAAAAUAAUCUAAAGUAGGAAAAUUUGAGAAAUAGCUAUAGCUGUGCAUAGAAAUUCUAAUUUAUUAAUAAUGAUAAAUAAAAAUAUAGAGUUCUUUUUAAGACUGCUAUAAACAAGGUACUUCCCUAAACAUUCCAUAAUAAAUAUUCUUUAACUAUAAAUUUUAAAAACUCAUGAAAUUGUAAAAGAAUAUUUAAUUAGCAAAAUUAAAUAUAGGAAAGAUAUUUCUUUAGAAUAAGAAAACACAAAAUAUUAUUUGAAUUAACUCUCUUUAUUCUAUUUGUAUUAUUUUUCUAAUAAAAUGAUAAAAAAAUAACUUUAUUUUGAAAUUUUAUAAAAAUACAGUUAUCCCUUGUGCAUUUUUGAUGGUCUGCAUAUUUAUUUUGAAUUUUAAAAGAAUGUAAAUAUUUAAAACUUACAUUAAAACAAUUAUGCAAUCAUGAAUUGCAAUAUAUUUAAAUUUAAAGUGAAAAAUUUGUAAUUAAGUAUGGACAUUUUAAUUACUUUACCAAAACUUUUCUUAUGUUUGAAGGGUUAAUUCCGUGCUGUAUAUUUGUAUUUUUGUUCAAAUAUGUUUUAUACACUAUCAAAUUGUGAAUUUUAGUAAAUGUAAAGAAAUAAUGUAGAUAUGUUACAUUUACAGACACACUUAUCUAAAAUGUAAAAAUAUUCCUGACAAUCUUUUAUCUUAAUAUUUGAACAUAAUUUUCUGUUUGAUAAAUCUAUAAAUCUGUUUGGAAUGUUGUGUUGAUGUGUUAAAAUUUUGUAUAUGUAAAAUACAAAGUGAGUUUGAACAUGUUUGUUUUAAUAUUAUAAUGUUUUUCGCUUUAGACUCAUGUAAUUUCAUAUUUAUAUAUAUAUAUUUUUUUAUUGUUGGGAAAGUAAAUACACUUACAAUAAAGUGAAAUAUUAAACAUGCUAUUUAAAAUAAUAUACAUCUUCAUUAAUAAAAUUGGAUAUUUGCAUCUUUAUGGAUUUUAAUAUGAAACACUUAAAAGCUAAUAAAAUGUUUAUUUGCCAUA